UGCAAGAGCCUGGGUCUCGUCAUGUCCGGACGAUUUCUCCCUAUCCAUCGCCUGCACUAGCCGGAGGUCCCUCGGUGAGCCGGGAUUUCCCCCGUGUGGUUUGUUGGCUGGGUAGAACCUUCCUGUCGCUUCUGUGGUAUUAAACCCGAUUUGCAACGACCAAAAACUCGAUAUAUUGGCGACCGAUGUUCAGGUC